rnacentral:rRNA from 1 species
CUCUUCAAGUUGGACAUCAAAAAGGCGUUUGACUCGGUCAGAUGGGACUUUCUCCUAUAUAUGUUGCGUCAUAACGGAUUCCCUUGUAGAUUCCGUGAUUGGGUUUUCGCCCUCCUCUCCAUGACUUCCUCAAGGGUGUUGCUUAAUGGGGUG